AGUGAACGCUGGCGGUAGGCCUAACACAUGCAAGUCGAACGGCAGCACAGUAAGAGCUUGCUCUUACGGGUGGCGAGUGGCGGACGGGUGAGGAAUACAUCGGAAUCUACUUUUUCGUGGGGGAUAACGUAGGGAAACUUACGCUAAUACCGCAUACGACCUACGGGUGAAAGCAGGGGAUCUUCGGACCUUGCGCGAUUGAAUGAGCCGAUGUCGGAUUAGCUAGUUGGCGGGGUAAAGGCCCACCAAGGCGACGAUCCGUAGCUGGUCUGAGAGGAUGAUCAGCCACACUGGAACUGAGACACGGUCCAGACUCCUACGGGAGGCAGCAGUGGGGAAUAUUGGACAAUGGGCGCAAGCCUGAUCCAGCCAUACCGCGUGAGUGAAGAAGGCCUUCGGGUUGUAAAGCCCUUUUAUUAGGAAAGAAAAGCAGCAUAUUAAUACCCCGCUGUUCUGACGGUACCCAAACAAUAAGCACCGGCUAACUUCGUG
rnacentral:rRNA from 1 species